GUUAAGUCAGGCAACGAGCGAGACCCACGCCACAGUUGCCAGCAUGUCCUCCGGGGAUGAUGGGGACACUGUUGGGACCGCCUCUGCUAAAGAGGAGGAAGGAAUGGGCAACGGUAGGUCAGCAUGCCCCGAAUUAUCCGGGCUACACGCGGGCUACAAUGGGUGGGACAAUGGGUAUCGACACCGAAAGGUGAAGGCAAUCUCCUAAACCCAUCCGUAGUUCGGAUUGUGGGCUGCAACUCGCCCACAUGAAGCUGGAAUCUGUAGUAAUCGUGUCUCAAAAUGGCACGGUGAAUAUGUCCCUGCUCCUU
rnacentral:rRNA from 1 species